GUAAGCAUAUAGGGAAACUUGUAUGUAGACACGGAGCAAAACCGUGCAACAAAGAAACUGAAUUGCUGGGAACUCUUAAAGCUAGUAUAACCACAACAUAAUACCUAAGUGAGAAUAUGGUAUAAGUGUGAUGGUGGCGAAAGCAGAAAAAAUAUACUAGAUGAUGCAAGGUUAAAUCCUAAACAUUAUGAUAAUAGACAAUCAGCAGCUAAGCCUGAAAAGGAAAGUUCAACGACUAUCCCUCGUGAGGGGAGUACAAUACAAGCGAUUGGUAUUGGAAGUGGUUUCGCCUAAGGUGUUGAGAUACACUAUGGAUAAGAUAUAGUCUGUGCUUGUUAGAGAUAACAAG
rnacentral:ncRNA from 1 species